CCAUAAAGAGGGAAAGGGAAAAAGAUAUCUGAGUGAAAGAAAUACGAUGGUUCAUUGUUGCGUUGAUAGAAGUAACCACUAACUAGAAGUUGAAUUUGUCGUUUCGUAUUUCUUUGCCAACGUACAGAAGUAACUCGUACCACCAGAUGGUACUAAUUUCCGCAUUGAGGAUUGUCUGAAAUUUAUAUUGUUAAAUUUGUACUUAAAUUGCCCAUUCAUAAUUCUUGGUUCAUUUAUAUUUUAGGCCAACUUCUCAGACUCACAAGGUAUUUGCAGAAAUUAGAACUUUUCCCGCCACCUCCUAGGAGGAAGAAAAGAAGAGGGAAGGUGGUGGAGAGUGGCCUUGGGGUGGAUGGGCGAGGGGGCAGUGGAGAUAACCAAUUUCUGGAUGGGACCCACGUUGUUGACCUUUUUAGGAAUUAAAACGGUUGCAUCGUUUUCGUUUGAUGACUUAAUCAUUUCUCCUCUUUAUUUUAUUUUAUUUUAUUUAUUUUUCUAUACUUUAAGCGUCUGCUUGGAAUUGGAUGCUUAUAACAACAAUCGGAGUCCGGACGAGAAAAUUAAUAAUUUAAUUUUGG
rnacentral:lncRNA from 1 species